rnacentral:rRNA from 1 species
UCAUCUUCGGGGGUAGAGCACUGUUUCGGCUAGGGGGUCAUCCCGACUUACCAACCCGAUGCAAACUACGAAUACCGAAGAAUGUUAUCACGGGAGACACACGGCGGGUGCUAACGUCCGUCGUGAAGAGGGAAACAACCCAGACCGCCAGCUAAGGUCCCAAAGUCACAGUUAAGUGGGAAACGAUGUGGGAAGGCUCAGACAGCCAGGAUGUUGGCUUAGAAGCAGCCAUCAUUUAAAGAAAGCGUAAUAGCUCACUGGUCGAGUCGGCCUGCGCGGAAGAUGUAACGGGGCUAAACUGUGCACCGAAGCUGCGGCAGCGACACUAUGUGUUGUUGGGUAGGGGAGCGUUCUGUAAGCCUGCGAAGGUGUCUCGUGAGGGAUGCUGGAGGUAUCAGAAGUGCGAAUGCUGACAUAAGUAACGAUAAUGCGGGUGAAAAACCCGCACGCCGGAAGACCAAGGGUUCCUGUCCAACGUUAAUCGGGGCAGGGUGAGUCGACCCCUAAGGCGAGGCCGAAAGGCGUAGUCGAUGGGAAACAGGUUAAUAUUCCUGUACUUGGUGUUACUGCGAAGGGGGGACGGAGAAGGCUAUGUUAGCCGGGCGACGGUUGUCCCGGUUUAAGCAUGUAGGCGGAGCGUUUAGGUAAAUCCGGACGCUUACUAACGCUGAGGUGUGAUGACGAGGCACUACGGUGCUGAAGUAACAAAUGCCCUGCUUCCAGGAAAAGCCUCUAAGCAUCAGGUAACAUCAAAUCGUACCCCAAACCGACACAGGUGGUCAGGUAGAGAAUACCAAGGCGCUUGAGAGAACUCGGGUGAAGGAACUAGGCAAAAUGGUGCCGUAACUUCGGGAGAAGGCACGCUGAUAUGUAGGUGAAGUG